rnacentral:rRNA from 1 species
AUACGGAGGGUGCAAGCGUUGUCCGGAUUUAUUGGGUUUAAAGGGUGCGUAGGCGGUCAGAUAAGUCAGUGGUGAAAUACUACAGCUCAACUGUAGAGGUGCCAUUGAAACUGUCAGACUUGAGUGCAGAUGAGGUAGGCGGAAUUUAUGGUGUAGCGGUGAAAUGCAUAGAUACCAUAAAGAACACCGAUAGCGAAGGCAGCUUACUAGACUGCAACUGACGCUGAGGCACGAAAGCAUGGGUAGCGAACAGGAUUAGAAACCCCGGUAGUCC